GACACUUCACACUGCCUCGGCCAGCAUAAUCAAAGACCAGUCUCACCCCGGUCACUCCCUCUUCUCCCCACUCCCAUCAGGCAAGAGGUCCAGAAGUGUGAAAACACAUACCUCCAGAUUUCUUACCGGCUGUUGUCAGGCAACUGAACCAUCCUCUCAUCAACUAGAGAGCGGUCCUGACCUCCCAUCUACCUCAUUCGAGACAGUUGAACUACCUUUAAUGAACUUUAGACACAAAAUGCUGGAGUAACUCAGCGGGUCAGACAGCAUCACUGGAGAGAAGGAUUGGGCUUUAAUGAAGUCAUUUAAUAAAUAAUGAAGUCAUUUAAUAAAGUCGUGAAGUCAUUAAAUGAAGUUCAUUAAAGCCCAAUUUUGGGGCAUUAAAGUUUUCUUUGACUGGACAGCACGCAACAAAAGUUUUUCACUAUUCACGGUGCAAUCAUAAACUAAACUAAACUAAGAUGUAAUUUUGAAUACUACAUUAUGUUUUUUCCCUCUUUUGCGCUACCUUCAUUGAUGUUAUAAUCUGCCAGGUUGGAAAGCAAAAGGUUUUUCACCGUAUCUUGGGACACAUGACAAUAAUAACAAACCGAAAGCUAAUAUAAACGGCUAAUAUAAACGGCUUGAAGAAGGGUUUCGGCCCGAAACGUCGCCUAUUUCCUUCGCUCCAUAGAUGCUGCUGCACCCGCUGAGUUUCUCCAGCAUUUUUGUGUACCAGCUAAUAUAAACGUACAGGUGCUGUAGGUAUUGUGUAGGUAUAUGUAUCUGCGAAUACAUUUACUCCUGUAGAUGGCGCUGUUGUAGUAGGUACUGUCAAUGUCAAGGAUGCCACAAGGCAGUUGCUACAGUAUUUUAUAAUCUAAUUCCCCAUGCAAUUAUUAGAUUUUUUUAAAUUGUAGCAACUUCCAGUGAUAUUUCUGAUGCCCAAAAUAAAGACUGAACUAAAUAAUUGUUAAAAAGAAACAAAAAUGACAGAUUUUGUAACAAUGUGAUAACGUUUAUUAUUCAAUUUGUCUCUUCACAAGAAUACAAAACAAAGAAGGAAUGGGGCCUUCAAACCAGGUUUCACUUCUUCCUCUGUGCCAAUUCCCCAUAGCCCUCAAAUCCCUCAUCUUUCAAAAAUGCAUCUACCUUCUCUUUGAAGACUUCUAAUGAGUUAGCCCCACUGCUCUCUGGAAGUUUCCAGAGAUUCACCACCUUCUGCUGGAAGAAAUGUCUACACAUCUGGAUUUCUAAAUAUCCAGCCCAUUGUAAUUAUUUCCCCUUGUUCAAAACUCUCCCACUGGUGGAAACAUCUCCACAUUUAACUUGUCACGCCAUCUUGCGAUCUUACAUGCUUCAAUGACUCGAUGACUCAGUAAUAAUGCCACCACACAUUCUUCUAAACUCUAAACAAUACCUACACAACCUGUUUAGUCUCACAAUAGGGCAAUCUGCUCUUCCCAAUAAUUAAUGUAGUAAAUCUCUUUUGGACUGCCUCCAAUGUUAUUAUAUUCUGUGUACAGUACUCCAGGUGUGGCCACAGCAACACUCUGUACAAUGGAAAUAAAGCGUCCCUAUUUCUAAUCUCUUCCCCUUUGAAAGAAAGGCCAGUAUGUCUGAAGAAGGGUCCUGACCCAAAACGUCACCUAUCCAUGUUUUCCAAGGAUGCUGCCUGACCCAAUGAGAUAUCCAGCAUUUUGUGUCCUUACCAGACCAAUAUAUCAUUUACUUUCAUGCCUAACAUUUUGUUAUUUCAUACACUAGAACACCUUGAUCUCUCUGAACUUCACUUAUUUGCACCCUCUAUCCCUUUAGACAAUAACCCACUUUUGGAUUCCUCUUAUGGAAGUGCAUGACCUCACACGAUCUCACAUUGAACUCCAUUUACCACGUUUUCAUCCACUUAAUCAGUCUGCCUGAAUCCCGUUGUAGAGUCACAAUAUCCAUUUCACAGCUUGCCAUUCCACCUAUUUGCGUGUUACUUCUUCAGGCCUUCAUUAAAGAUUAUAACAGUUUUUACUGAGGUUUUAGCUUGAAGGAUUUGCUUGAAGUCUGGCUCCUUCUGAAGCAACCUCGUCUGCCCAUUCCCUCCACAGACACUGCCUGACCCGCCGAGUUCCUCCAACACUGGUUUUCUCAAGAUUCCAGCCACUGCAGUCUCGUGUAUCUUCAGCUUCUAAUAGAUGUUUGUUGCUCACUUCUUUCCUGAAAUGGAGACAGAGAGAUCCAGAAAGGGAAAAGAAGAAUCAGAGAUGGAAGAAUCAGUCUGAAGAAGCAGUCCGUCCAUUCCCUAAAAUGGCAGAUACUGCCUGACCUGCUGUGUACCCCCAGCACUUUGAGUUUCUACCUUCUGCUCUUGUCCUUCUUGGUCGUAGGGAUUGCAGGGAGAGGAGGUUUUGUCUGGAUAGUUCCCAACGAGCUGUGAAUGUGACAGCAUUUUAUUGAACAAGCCGUUUUUACCCACACUUAUAGCAUAACUGAAAAUGAUUAUGCACCUGUACAUGUGAAGGAUGGAAUUGCAGAUGCUGGUUUAAACCGAAGAUAGACACAAAAUGCUGGAGUAAUUCAGCGAGACAGACAGAUGCUGCCUGUCCUGCAGAAUUACUCCAGCAUUUUGUGUCUAUAUGCACCUAUACAUUCCUGCCUAGUCUGAAAGCAGCAUUGCACUAAAACAAGGGUUCCCAACCUGGGGUAAAUUUAUCCCCAGAGGGUAAAUUUGUUGAUUCUGGAUUUGUACAUUUUAUUUUCUCAUUGACUGACUGUGUUUGGUUCUGUUCAUUAGUCGUUCAUGAAUAAGUGAAAUAACAUUGUUAAGUGCUAUUAAAGUUGCCAGGGGUAAACGGGACGAAAUAGGUUGGGAACCCCUGCACUAAAAUAUUUACAAGAUAAUUACAUAGUAGCAAAAAUGUCAGCAAUUUAAUGUUAUAAAUACUUAGACAAAGAUUGAUUCUAUCCCAAAGGACAUCUGAAGAAAACAGUAGUUUCCAGAUAAACAGCUUACAUGUACAAUCAUAGAAUCAUUCCAGCUCUUGUGUCUAAAUUACCUAUCUUAUUCAUGUUGGCCCUUGAUAAGCUGAAAUUUCCUGUCUCUUUCCACAUCGCCUUGUAAAUUAUUUCUGUCAAGUGCGUAUCCAUUUCCCUUUUGAAAACCCUAAUUGACUUUGUUUCCUUCAUCCUGAAAGACAGUGGGCUCUAGAUUAUCACAGUGUCUUCAAAAGAAAAUGUUCCCUCGCACCCCCGAGAUCACUUUUCACCUUAAAUCUGUGUUCAUGUUUUUUUGGAAAGGAGAGGUGCAGUUUUGGGUCGGGACCAAGAAGAGUCUCGACCUGGAAUGUCACCGAUCCAUGUUCUUCAGAAAUGCUCCCUGAACCGCCUCUGAAUUACUCCAGCACUUUUGUGUCCUCUCUCGUGCCCUGGCAUCUAUACGCUCUAAUUAGCUUGGGAUGUACUGUUUUCUCAAGGCUAGGUUAUGAAGCAUUUAUCAUCAGGUUUAUUGAUAUUUAGUAGCAUCUCCUCCUUCCCUCACUAUUUAAUACAUAUCCGAUCAGGACAGAGAAUAGUGGGUAGUAGUUUUUUGUGGCAAUUCUCUCGGUUUUGAUGAGUGGCUAAAGGAAAAUGGUAUAUCCGGUUUAAAAAAGAAAAGUAACAUCUGUUGCUUGGGAGGACAAUGUAGCGUUAUGGGAGUGUAGGUUAUGUAGCGAUUGUACAGGAUUGAUGUUUACAUCAGUUAAUGGUACUUUGUCACCCUCUAGUGCUCGCUGUUGGAGAACACUGGUGAUAUAGUGACACAAGGAACUGCAGAUGCUGGAAUAGAGUUAUACAGUAUGGAAACAGGCUCUUCAGCCCAACUUGCCCACUCUGACCAAGAAGAAUCACAGCUGGACCAGAAAUAUGACUGGCAGCCCACCAUAAUGAUGAGGAGCAGGAGCAAUGACAGGAAGGAGUGGAAAGGCAAGCCGGAAGCCCACCCUCACAGAUUGACCUUGGCUGGGAACCUGGGGCUCAACAAAAUUGUUCCCAAUUGGGCCCCGCAUGUCCGAAGGCUGGCCCUGCCGACGCCUCCCCUUCCUCAGAAGGCUACGGAAAUUCAGCAUAUCUCGAACGACUCAUGCUAAACUGAUAACAAAGACCCUGUGCUCUGCGGUCUACUCUCAGGACACACACACAGACAAACACCAACUGCUGCUGGAAGACAAUCAAUCCAGUGGUGGAUGCCCCUCUGUUUCUGCCUGAAAUCACUGGUGUUCCAGUACAAGGAGCUGUCUGCAACUGAAUGCUGCCGCCUGGCUCGCUCCAAGGCCCAGGAGUACCUGCUGAGGGACGCGCUGAAGCUCUGACCAGCCACGGUGUGGGACUGACCACGGGUAUAGGGUUCACUCCACACCGACGGGCCAGACCCUAUGUAAUAAAAACACUCCUGACACGGCUCACGAAAUGUGCGCUCGGGGAAAAUUGACAUAAUGUUGCUGGAAUGUGAAUCUUGUGUGUAAAUAGAAUUCUCUCCCUUGUACUGUGAAUGGUGACAUGUGAGGUGUGGUGACUAAUAUAUUGCUAAUUUUAUGAAUAAAGGGCAUUCAUCAACCAUGGUCUCGAUGAAUGGCACAGCAGACUGGAUGGGCUGAUUGACCAACUCCUAUUUAUUUUGUUCUUCUCGUGUUCAUAUUUUUUGGGGGGAAAGGUUGCUUUCACUUGUGUUGCUUUUCAACCUCACCAGCCCUUAGACCCAAUCUUAACUUUCAACCAACAAAAAAAGAAAACUCCAUGCUGUAUUUUAGUAACACUUGCAAUGCUCGUGUGGUAGAUACUGUAGAUACAUAGAUACAUAGAAAAUAGCUGCAGGAGUAGCCCUUUGAGCCAGCACUGCCAUUCAAUGUGAUCAUGGCUGAUCAUCCACAAUCAGUACCCCGUUCCUGCCUUCUCCCCAUAUCCCUUGAUUCUGCUAGCCCUAAGUGCUCUAUCUAACUCUCUUUUGAAUCGGCCUCUACUGCCUUCUGAGGUGUUGCUGGUGGGUGUGAACUCAACUGCUAAUCAUGUAUUUACCACUGAUGUCACUGUUCAGGGUAUUCCCAAUAGGGAAGCUAUUGAACUGGGCAAUCCUGGUAAUGAUAGUUGUCUGUGUACUUCUGGCCCCUCUCUCUCUCUUGAGUGCGUGUUAAGGGCCUGUCCCACUUGGGCGACCUAAUCCGCGAGUUUUGGCGAGUUUACACUCGACUCAUACUCGCAGCAUGGUCGACACGAGGUCGUAGGAGGUCUUCAUAACUCUCCAUCAUGCUCGAGAGUGGUCUCCGCGUACUCGAGGCCUCAGCUAGGUCGCGGCGUUUUUUUCAACGUUAAAAAAUGCUUGCGAGUAAAAAAAGGUCGCCGUGGAAAAUAUCGAUACUCGUAGGUUUAGUCAUAGUAGGCCAUAGUAGGUCGGCAUGUUAGUCGUAGGUAAUCGAGGGUAGUCGAAGGUAGUCGUAGAUAGUCUUCAUCAUAGUCGAAGGGAGGUCGAAGGAGGUCGUCUUCACUCUCCACUUUUCCCAAUGUGCCCAAUGUUUCCCGGGUGUCCAAUUUUCCUGAAGUUAGUUGUAGCUAGUCGAAGCUGGUCUUCUACAUAGUCGAAGGAGGUCUUCUACAUGUCAUUUUUUCAAACUCUUCUAAACUCGCCAAUUAGGUCGCCCAAGUGGGACAGCCCCUUUAGAUGGAGAUGGGACAGACAUGUGACCUCCACGUUUCCUGGAACGUCGAGAAGGACGCAAGAGCGACACUGAUAGAUACACCUAUCUAUCUUCACAAUAGACAGAGGGGUGGGGGUGGCGAGGAACAGAACUGGGAAUUACGCAGGGAUCACUCGGAAACUUUGAGGAGUUUAAGGGAGACAAAGAAACUGCAGAUGUUGGAAUCUUGAUCAAAACAGUUUAAGGGAUUACUUCCAUCGUGAAUGCAAAUUAUAAAUGUUCCCCCCCCAUCUGAUUGUCAUUCGCUGUUGUUUUCUCAAUAUUUUGUUGUGUGCUUGCACCUUGCUCUCUCCGCUACGUUAAACUCGUUCCCCAUACUUCCUUACUCAGUGACCCCUUCAAAUCCCGUGAACCUUUGAGACCUUUCUGCUUCUCCACACCAGACCUCUUCAUCGUUCCCACUAGCCGCAGCUGGCGGCUUCAAUUCCCCGUGCCUAGCGCUCUGGAAUUCACUCGA